rnacentral:rRNA from 1 species
AACGAACGCUGGCGGCAUGCCUAACACAUGCCAGUCGAACGAGACCUUCGGGUCUAGUGGCGCACGGGUGCGUAACGCGUGGGAACCUGCCCUUAGGUUCGGAAUAACUCCCCGAAAGGGGUGCUAAUACCGGAUAAUGUCUUCGGACCAAAGAUUUAUCGCCUUUGGAUGGGCCCGCGUUGGAUUAGCUAGUUGGUAGGGUAAAAGCUUACCAAGGCGACGAUCCAUAGCUGGUCUGAGAGGAUGAUCAGCCACACUGGGACUGAGACACGGCCCAGACUCCUACGGGAGGCAGCAGUGGGGAAUAUUGGACAAUGGGCGAAAGCCUGAUCCAGCAAUGCCGCGUGAGUGAUGAAGGCCUUAGGGUUGUAAAGCUCUUUUACCCGGGAUGAUAAUGACAGUACCGGGAGAAUAAGCUCCGGCUAACUCCGUG